AUUGAACGCUGGCGGCAUGCCUUACACAUGCAAGUCGAACGGCAGCACGGGAGCAAUCCUGGUGGCGAGUGGCGAACGGGUGAGUAAAGUCUCGGAACGUGCCCAGUCGUGGGGGAUAACGUAGCGAAAGUUACGCUAAUACCGCAUACGAUCUAUGGAUGAAAGCGGGGGAUCGCAAGACCUCGCGCGAUUGGAGCGGCCGAUGUCAGGUUAGGUAGUUGGUGGGGUAAAGGCUCACCAAGCCGACGAUCUGUAGCUGGUCUGAGAGGACGACCAGCCACGCUGGGACUGAGACACGGCCCAGACUCCUACGGGAGGCAGCAGUGGGGAAUUUUGGACAAUGGGCGAAAGCCUGAUCCAGCCAUGCCGCGUGCAGGAUGAAGGCCCUCGGGUUGUAAACUGCUUUUGUACGGAACGAAAAGGUUUGGCCUAAUAAGCUGAGCUCAUGACGGUACCGUAAGAAUAAGCACCGGCUAACUACGUGCCAGCCGCCGCCGUAACAC
rnacentral:rRNA from 1 species